CGGACACAUCACGUUGAAGCACCGAUUCCCAUACGAUCACCGAAGUUAAGCAACGUCGAUUCUGGUCAGUAUCUAGAUGAGUGACCGCUUUGGAAAUACAGAGUGCUGUAA